CGCGGUGGACCAGCUGCGUAACGGUUCACACACUGAUGGCGCCUGGAGGUUUGGCGAAAUACUGACAGGAUGCGACGUCAACGGGAGCGCAGGGCCAAGAUACCCUUUAUAUCAAACCGUCUAUCCUGGAGCAGAAAAAUCCUGUCUUCAUUGCUAUAGCUACAGAUUCAGAAAUGAGCAUGUAACAAAUUCAGGCCAAAGAGAGGCAAUGGAAAUCAGAGAAACACUGUUCCUGAAAGCUUCUGUCACUCAAGAAUCCAUGAAACAUUCAUGAACUUCACAUCAGGACCCCAGUUAUUCCAGCUGUUAAAUGGAGUGGAUCAAAAGGCUGAUUAAAUGUAACGGAUUCCAAAGAAUGGCUGGCACAUAGUAAGUACCAUAUAAUUAGACUUAAACUGCUAAGAUUAAUUAUAUUUUUUAUUAUUUAAAAAUCUAUAAAACUCUACCUAUUAAAUUAGCAUGGUAUUCAGUCUUUUUCAAGAGUUUUAUUCCAAAUAUAGUUCUGAGGAUAUCCAGGGUUACUUAUAUUUGUAAUUGAAUCAGUUUUCUCAUGGUCUCCUGGGAUAACCUGCCAGGAAAUUAAGUGUCCUGAUUAGGCUAGAUUCUCAAAACAGUGGCCGUCUGAUCUCAUUUCCCUUCAUCCUUCCGGCCUCAUUCUCAGGACAGAACAAGACAAGCCAUUAACCCUGAAACCCAGUGGUUCCCACAUGACGGCCACUUCUGAUACUUGUUUAUUUAUGUGGAUAAACAUGGUUCCUUGAGGAAUGAAUAAUAAUACUCUUUUCGGUAUAAUACUCAGGGAGGGCGACAGAGACGUCCCUUGUGUUAUAACUUUUUAUAGUUAAUCAUCGUCAAGUCUUUGGUGUGUUACUAAUGCUCAAAUGGUAUUUAUAUUUUUUCUCAGGGGUGGGGUGGGAGGCACUUUUUCUGCAUUAGCUGCACUCUUUGUAGAGAACCAACACCUUAGUUUUAUAUCCUAGACUCUGAAAUUGAAUUUGAUUACUCUAGGAAACUCUCAUUUUCUGUAUGAUGAGAUUCCCCUUAGGAAAAAAAAUGCUAACUUAAUUCCUACCUAUAGCUGAUUGAGGCCAUAUGAGAUACAUUUAAAUAAGGAAUAUUUGAAUAUGUUUAUUUUUUGCCUUACAUUUAGUCCUUUACAGGAGGAAAAGCAAUGAUGUCCUACCAUGUAGUUUCCCAGCCACUAAUUACAAUGGUUGUAUGCGGGGAGGGAGCACAGCUGAGAGAAGGGAUCUAACUCCUUGUGAUGAAGUACGAGGCCAAACUGUCCUGUUAAAUAAUUAAAUUCAUAGUGUGUUGCAUUUUGUAGAUUUGAGC
ensembl:lncRNA POT1-AS1 POT1 antisense RNA 1